rnacentral:lncRNA from 1 species
AAAUUAAAAUACACUUUCUCUUUCUAUUAAUUGUCAUGUUAAUCUUUAAGAACAUUCUUUAUAUUUUCUUCCAGAACAAAUGAUUUAAGUUGCAAAAAAAAAAAACGAUUUAGAGCGCGAUGUUGUUUAGAGAAUUUCUGUAAGAAAACCAUGGCAACAAAACAAACCCUUGAUGAUAUUCAAACCUAACAUAAACAAAAAGAGUCACUUAGCUAGGCAAGAAAAGGAGUCCAUAUCUAUUUAAGGUCAAGACUACGGUUGAUGUUUUGUAUUGGCAUUUCUCUAGAAACUAUUGUUCGUUUGAAAGUUAUUUUUCUUUCUAUUCUGAUCAUUUUGUUGUAACGUUUUCUUCUCAUUGUUGGAUGACUUUCCACCACAUAUAGCCUCUCCC